rnacentral:rRNA from 1 species
UACGGAGGGAGCUAGCGUUGUUCGGAAUUACUGGGCGUAAAGCGCACGUAGGCGGCUUUGUAAGUUAGAGGUGAAAGCCCGGAGCUCAACUCCGGAAUUGCCUUUAAGACUGCAUCGCUUGAAUCCAGGAGAGGUGAGUGGAAUUCCGAGUGUAGAGGUGAAAUUCGUAGAUAUUCGGAAGAACACCAGUGGCGAAGGCGGCUCACUGGACUGGUAUUGACGCUGAGGUGCGAAAGCGUCGGGAGCAAACAGG